CACAGAAUCCCACUGCCAUGGAAACCUGAGUUUAAGAUGGCCUGGCUUUCAGUGGACAAAGGCAGGCAAGAGCAGUUUCCUCAAAACCACUUUAUUUUUAGAAAAGCGCAGAGUUUACUGAAUGUUCUGGAACCUGGAAAUGUGACUAUAUUUGAUUCUUUUCAUUUCUGCAAGGCUCAUGAGCCCUAUGACUCUGACUCAGCCCCGCCUGUGGUACCAGCAUGCAGUGGGCGUGGACUCUUCCCUCCUGAUGCCUUCCCAGCUUGGAAGAGCAAGUGCUACAAAGAAGACAACUGCAGAAUUUUAGAACUGUACCACGAUUUUGGUGUCCAUAUUCUGGGAAAAUCAUCCUUGCAUGGGAAGACAAGCCAAAGCCACACAUCACGGAAGGAUUCCGAGUGAUGGAAAAGAAAAUGGAAAAAUGGGAUAGAGUUUAUAUUCGUAAUACCAAAUAGAUCUGAGAGUCAUUUCUCACUCAUGCCUCCGAUAUUAGUAUAAAUGCCCUUUUGUAACUAAAAAAAAAUUUUUUUGCCUCGAGUUCAAGACAAUACUUUCUUUUCAUUCUUUUGCAAAAAUUAAUUCGUAUCUGUUUCAGUUAGGAUUAUGUUCUGCUACAUAAAAUAGAAAAUCCAAAAGAAAAGAAAAACCUCUGUUGAGAGGUUUAAAGCCACACCGGUCGGAUCUAUUCUUUCAUGUAAAAGACAUCCGGAAAUGAGCAGUCCGGGG
rnacentral:lncRNA from 1 species